GGCUACCUGGCGCAAUGGUAGCGCGUUUGGCUUCGAUCGCCAACGGCACCAACUCAGGCUUCCAACCUGAGCUGUUAGGCACCAAAAGGUUGCAGGUUCGAGUCCUGCGGUGGUCA
rnacentral:tRNA from 1 species